rnacentral:rRNA from 1 species
GACGAACGCUGGCGGCGUGCUUAACACAUGCAAGUCGAACGGAAAGGCCCUGUUCUUGUGGGGUUCUCGAGUGGCGAACAGGUGAGUAACACGUGAGUAACCUGCCCUUGACUUAGGGAUAACUUCAGGAAACUGGGGCUAAUAACGGAUAGGAGCUCCUGCUGCGUGGAGGUGCUUGGAAAUUUUCGGCGGUUGGGGAUGGACUCGCGGCUUAUCAGCUUGUUGGUGGGGUAGUGGCUUACCACGGCGUUGACGGGUAGCCGGCCUGAGAUGGUGACCGGCCUCAUCGGGACUGGGAGACGCCCCCGACUCGUACGGGCGGCAGUAGUGGGGAACAUUGCCCAAGGGGCGGAAGCCUGAUGCAGCAACGCCGCGUGCGGGAUGACUGCCUUCGGGUUGUAAACCGCUUUCGCCUGCGCCGAAGCGUGAGUGACGGUAACGGGUAAAGAAGCACCGGCUAACUACGUG